CUCUUCUUCAAGCAAUACUGAACUUCUGCCAGUGUAACUGGUAUGCUGGCCAUCAGAGUUCUGGGGUGAUUAUUUCUGGCAGUGUACAUCCCUGGUGGACAUUGACAUAAACAGAAACAGGAUAACUAUUUCAUUAUGUCCGGCCUCUUUGGACACAGCCUAGGAAAUAAGACAGCAAGCGAUGUGAAAAACAUUGAUGGAAAGCAGAUGUCAGGAGGGCAAAGCCAGUGACAACAGUGUGUUGGCCUAAGGGUGGAGAACUAGUAUUGACUAUUUUAAAAUUUGCUUCAAAGGUACUGAAUCAUCAAAUCACAAAUGCUAAGACUAGGAAAUCUGUUCCACUUAUUCUUCUCCCACAGAAGAUGUGUUCUUACAGCAAGCCAGAAAGAUUCCACAGUCAACAUGUUCUUAAAAAUGAGGAAUCAGAUUUGUCAAGUUGUGUGAAUAUCAAAAAAAAUUUCUGAGUACACUGCUACAAUCAGAAGUACACAUAGAUCUAAAUUUCUUGCUUAGAAUUUUAAGUCUUUGGUGAAAAUAGUCAACAUUGCACAGUUCCUUUACUAUGCACUUACUUCAAUGUAUAUACUCGUCUCAUCUUCCCCUUUCAGCUUUUCCACUGCCUUCUGUCUUUGUGUAAUCUUCAUAUAAACAGUGACUGCCUGUCCCCUAGUCUUUGCUGUGUGUCAUGUUCAAGCAACAGCAAUCAGAAGCAAUUACAACAAUCACAGUCUCACUGGUGUCCCUCAAUAACACACAAGGAACUCUAAUUCACAGUCCAUAGAAAUAUUGUUUCAAAUCAUCUUUUCCCUGUUGUCAUUUCACACCUGCUCUGAAGCCUCUUUUCUGCGCCAAUUCACUCUCAACCUCACUAAAACUCUGGGCAUCAUUAACCUGCUUCAUGACUCCAUUCUUCUACCCUUCAUCUUUGCAGUCCUAAUCUACUAGUCUCUCCUAUCCCUCAUGAUGUUUUCUCCCUCAAACCCUCCAAUCCAUGCUUUAUCCUAUCAUGCCUAUCAUGGCAUAUCUACCUCCUUUCCCAAGAUGAGUUACCAUGAUCUGAGGAAAAGCCCACACACUGAGCAACCCAAGACAAAAUUCUCUUAUAUGGAGAAAGAUUGUUUAAUCCAUUUUCUUCUAAGACUACCAAUAUGAGGUAAUAAGGAAAGGUGGAGAGACCCCAGUAGACUUGGCUUAGCAGCCCUUAUCUCUCUUUAAACUGAAAGUGUUAACACCAGUUUCACAAUGCUUUUCCAAAUUACCUUCUCUAAACUGAGUACAGUACUUGUCCAUCAAUCUUUCUCCUGACCUUUCUCACUCUCAUCCUCUCUUCUACCUCCACACUUCAUGGCUGUUUAACCCCCCUUGCUCUACCAGCCUCCUGAUGUUUUUCCUCUCUUCUGCCUAUUUCUCAGGCUUGCUGGUGGUUCUCAAAGGCAUGGAUAAGAAUGUUCAAGGUCAUGAGAAGUGGAAAAUGAUUACCCAUUUCUCAAAAUGAGAAAGGAAGAAGAAAAGCAAGGAAGGAAGAAGAGAAGGAAGGGAAGAAGGGAGGAAGGGAUGAAGAGAGAAGGAAGAUGGAUCCUUUGGUAAAUGAGAUAACUAAGUCUUCAAUAUGCAGAAAGGUGGCUUGUAUUUUCCUGUUUUCAGAAAAUGUUCUGAACAACAAGAGAGUGAUUUCUCAGUACUCAAUCUUUUUUUGGCAAAGAAAUGUAGCCCUUGAGAUGUGAAGCAAAUGGCUUGCGAGACAUUGUCUGGGUAUCAACAUUCACUCCAGGCUGCCCUGUGCAGUUGCCUAAUAACCACUGAGUGAGUGUACCAGCUGUACUCUAAAUCCAGCUGGUCUCUGGCCCACCUUCCCAGUACUACAACUCUUCUCCUAGAAGAAUCAGAUCUUGGGCCAGCAGCAAUUCUGAUCCAGCUAGUAACUGUCUUCUUUCCAAAUGAAGAU
ensembl:lncRNA